AUGGUUUGGCUGCAGUUUAGGGCACGGACAGGUACUGAUUUCAUAAUACCGGAGGACAGCUUCAGUACUACAGAAGAGUGGUGGCUGAAGGCGAGAAAGGGAAUUCCGAAGCCAAUGAGGAAGAACUUUGACACUAUUGUCAUUCUAUUACACUGGAGGAUCUGGAAGGAAAGGAACUCGAGGAUCUUUGAUAAUGUAAACAGCUCUGCGGAUAGGGUCCGGGAUCUGGUCCUAGAAGAUAUCGGCAUGUGGAGGGCAGCGGGCUGCAUCAGCGACCUAAAUGCCUGA
rnacentral:rRNA from 1 species